rnacentral:rRNA from 1 species
UGCGUAGGCGGUUUGGAAAGUCAGAUGUGAAAGCCUACAGCUUAACUGUAGAACUGCAUUUGAAACUUCCAGACUAGAAUACUGAAGGGGCAGAUGGAAUUAGUGGUGUAGGGUAAAUCCGUAGAUAUCACUAGGAAUACCGAAAGCGAAAGCGAUCUGCUGGGAAGUUAUUGACGCUGAGGCACGAAAGCGUGGGGAGCGAAACG